rnacentral:rRNA from 1 species
UACGUAGGGGGCAAGCGUUAUCCGGAUUUACUGGGUGUAAAGGGGGCGCAGACGGCGAUGCAAGCCAGGAGUGAAAGCCCGGGGCCCAACCCCGGGACUGCUCUUGGAACUGCGUGGCUGGAGUGCAGGAGGGGCAGGCGGAAUUCCUGGUGUAGCGGUGAAAUGCGUAGAUAUCAGGAGGAACACCGGUGGCGAAGGCGGCCUGCUGGACUGCAACUGACGUUGAGGCCCGAAAGUGCGGGGAUCGAACAGG